GCUGGCGGCAGGCCUAACACAUGCAAGUCGAGCGGUAACAGAAAGAAAGCUUGCUUUCUUUGCUGACGAGCGGCGGACGGGUGAGUAAUGCCUGGGAAUAUGCCUUAGUGUGGGGGAUAACUAUUGGAACCGAUAGCUAAUACCGCAUAACGUCUUCGGACCAAAGAGGGGGACCUUCGGGCCUCUCGCGCUAAGAUUAGCCCAGGUGGGAUUAGCUAGUUGGUGAGGUAAAGGCUCACCAAGGCAACGAUCCCUAGCUGGUCUGAGAGGAUGAUCAGCCACACUGGAACUGAGACACGGUCCAGACUCCUACGGGAGGCAGCAGUGGGGAAUAUUGCACAAUGGGGGGAACCCUGAUGCAGCCAUGCCGCGUGUAUGAAGAAGGCCUUCGGGUUGUAAAGUACUUUCAGUCGUGAGGAAGGCAUUGUAGUUAAUAGCUGCAGUGCUUGACGUUAGCGACAGAAGAAGCACCGGCUAACUCCGUG
rnacentral:rRNA from 1 species